GCACUCGUAGCUCAGCUGGAUAGAGCGCUGCCCUCCGAAGGCAGAGGUCACAGGUUCGACUCCUGUCGAGUGCGCCA
rnacentral:tRNA from 3 species